rnacentral:misc_RNA from 1 species
ACAUCCCUCUUUCAAAUCUUUUUUUGAAAGGACUUGAGGUUAUCUCGCUUAAUAAACGAGAAACUCUUUAAACUACUAAGGCCUGGAUUAGUUUACCUGCCUGAACUUUUUUUUAAUAUAAAGGAAAGCUCUUGCGAUUGAACUCCUAUUGAGGCCUCUCAAACAAUGCUUUUUUAA